AUACAUACAGACACAAACACGCAAAAGGACAUACAUACACACACAUAUAGAAAUACAUACAGACAUAUACAUACUGACACAUAUACAUACUGACACACACAUACACACAGACAGACAUACACAUACAUACAAACACAAACACACACAGACAUACAUACUGAAAUACAUACAUACUCAAAUACAUACACAUACAAAAACGCAUACUGACAUACAUACACACACACACACACAUACUGAAAUACAUACAUACAAACACACAGAUAGACACAUACUGACAUACAUACACACAAACAGAUACUGACAUACAUAUAUACAUAUACACACAUA